rnacentral:rRNA from 1 species
UACGGAGGGUGCAAGCGUUAUCCGGAUUCACUGGGUUUAAAGGGUGCGUAGGAGGGCAGGUAAGUCAGUGGUGAAAUCCCCGAGCUUAACUUGGGAACUGCCGUUGAUACUAUCUGUCUUGAAUAUCGUGGAGGUAAGCGGAAUAUGUCAUGUAGCGGUGAAAUGCUUAGAUAUGACAUAGAACACCAAUUGCGAAGGCAGCUCGCUACACGAAUAUUGACUCUGAGGCACGAAAGCGUGGGGAUCAAACAGG